rnacentral:rRNA from 1 species
AUUGAACGCUGGCGGCAUGCCUUACACAUGCAAGUCGAACGGCAGCACGGACUUCGGUCUGGUGGCGAGUGGCGAACGGGUGAGUAAUGUAUCGGAACGUACCAUUGAGUGGGGGAUAACGUAGCGAAAGUUACGCUAAUACCGCAUAUUCUCUCCGGAGGAAAGCAGGGGACCGCAAGGCCUUGCGCUCUUUGAGCGGCCGAUAUCAGAUUAGCUAGUUGGUGGGGUAAAAGCUCACCAAGGCGACGAUCUGUAGCGGGUCUGAGAGGAUGAUCCGCCACACUGGAACUGAGACACGGUCCAGACUCCUACGGGAGGCAGCAGUGGGGAAUUUUGGACAAUGGGGGCAACCCUGAUCCAGCCAUGCCGCGUGAGUGAAGAAGGCCUUCGGGUUGUAAAGCUCUUUCGGCCGGGAAAAAAUCGCAUGGAUUAAUACUCUGUGUGGAUGAUGGUACCGGAAUAAGAAGCACCGGCUAACUACGUGCCAGCCGCCGCCGUAAUAC